GUGAUUAGGGCUGGCAGUGACGAGAAUUCCUUCUUGAAACCCUGAAAUUUGAUUAAAACAUAAUUUUAAUAAAAAUUGUUGUUUAGAAACAAAUAUUUAUUAAAACUACAGGAUUAUUAAGGGGGACGAAAUAAGUUGGGAGUGGAUAAUUUAGCAUCGUGGUGACAUUUUUUUCUCCAUCGUUAUUGAAGUAUGACUAGCCACGUAGAGGUUGCAAGUAAUGGAAGACGCAAGGGUCAGAAGCAAGAUUUAUAAGAGUGGUUCAAUCAGCCGUGGAUCAUGAAGAUAAAUUGCAUUUUUUUUUUUUCUUUUUUUUUUUUUUCGAUGAAACAUAUCGCGAACCCAUAGCGUAUUGAGCUAGUCAAUAAAGGGCACUUCAUCUCCAAUGAAAUAAAAACUUCAACCUUGUUUAUGAAGACACGCUUCACCGCCAAGAAUUCCAUGUGCAGAAAUUCUUUUCCGUAAUGGAGGCAUUUAUGGAAUUG